CUACUCACAUCCCACAGUAAAUUAUUGGCAACAUUGUUACAAUUCUUGUCACCAAUUCCUGUAAAAACCCUAUUAAAUGUCUAAAAGUGUAGAUUUAGCAAAAUGAUGGCUAUUGUUUAAUUCAGGUGAAGUUGAAUGAAGAUGUCUGGGCUUGCGAUGAUAUCAUUAUUACAAGGAAGUGUUCAGUUCAGUUUCCCAGUGGCUCAUCGAUUGGGAUCUGUUUGGAAACAGUAGUCGUCUGAGUCCUGUGACUGACUGGCAACCUCCCAAGGGUGUAGUGCUCCUUUCAUAAAAAGCCAACUGGAAUAGGUUUAAUUUACCUGUGACCCUGAAUGAAAUAAGCAAUAGAGAGAAUGUUUGCCUGAAUUGUACUGUCAUUUGCAUUUUAUUUCCAAAAAACACAAUUUGUGUACUGGUCACAAAAAGAUAAGAUACGAUACAGACAGGAGAUAUCAAGUUAUGACUGUAUUGAGUUUUGAUUGACACUGACAAGAAUUAUCUAAGAACAACAUAAUAUUGUGUAGACCUUCCUUUAAAAAAAAACACACACAAUAUGAGCUGGGUCGGUUGUGUUUAUUUCAGAUGCAGCACAUGUAGGCACUUUCCGGCAGGGAUCAGCAUUAGUGCAGAGACUGGGUGGCUUUCCUCCCAUAACAUCUCUGAGGUUGGGGGGAAACUACGAGUGUGCGUUUAGUUCACCUCAAAUUAGAAUAUACCACAGCAAAGCAAAGAAGCUCAAGGGCACAACACCGCUUAAAGCACUGUUAGCACUGCGAGGAAUGUGACAGACAAGAAACAGAUGAAAGCUAUUUUAUAAAAUAUGAGGUAUUUACAAAUCAAUCGGACCUUAUAGAAAGGAAUAUUGAUUGAAACUUCCUUUGAGAUCUGCACAAUCAAUACCGCAUGCCUAACAAAGGGGGGCAGCAGAAAGCAGGUUUACAACACUGACGUGACAUGAACAUUAACCAGAGCCGACCACUUCUUAGCGCCACCUCUUGUGUUCACAA